UUCCGGUGUAUACCUCCUUCAGGCACGGAGGAGCGAAAGGAUCGGUACGUGCAGACGAGCGCCGCUACCUACGUGCCAGCAGCCGCGGUAUACGUAGGGCGCCAGCGUUGUCCGGAAUAUUGGCGUAAGAGCUCGUAGGCGGUUUGUCGCGUUUGCUGUGAAAGCCCGGGCUUUAACCCCGGGUGUGCAGUGGGUACGGGCAGACUUGAGUGCAGUAGGGGAGACUGGAACUCCCUGGUGUAGCGGUGAAAUGCGCAGAUAUCAGGAAGAACACCGAUGGCGAAGGCAGGUCUCUGGGCUGUUACUGACGCUGAGGAGCGAAAGCAUGGGGAGCGAACAGGAUUAGAUACCCUGGUAGUCCAUGCCCGUAAACGUUGGGCACUAGGUGUGGGGGACAUUCCACGUUUUUCGCGCCGUAGCUAACGCAUUAAGUGCCCCGCCUGGGGAGUACGGCCGCAAGGCUAAAACUCAAAGGAAUUGACGGGGGCCCGCACCAGCGGCGGAGCAUGCGGAUUAAUUUGAUGCAACGCGAAGAACCUUACCAAGGCUUGACAUACACCGGAUCGGCUCAGAGAUGGGUUUUCCUCCUUGUGGGGCUGGUGUACAGGUGGUGCAUGGUUGUCGUCAGCUCGUGUCGUGAGAUGUUGGGUUAAGUCCCGCAACGAGCGCAACCCUCGUUUUAUGUUGCCAGCACGUGAUGGUGGGGACUCAUAGGAGACUGCCGGGGUCAACUCGGAGGAAGGUGGGGAUGACGUCAAAUCAUCAUGCCCCUUAUGUCUUGGGCUUCACGCAUGCUACAAUGGCCAGUACAAUGGGUUGCGAUACCCUGAGGUGGAGCUAAUCCCAAAAAGCUGGUCUCAGUUCGGAUCGUGGUUUUUAACUUGACCACGUGAAGUGGGAGUCGCUAGUAAUCGCAGAUUAGCAACGCUGCGGUGAAUAAGUUCCCGGGCCUUGUACACACGGCCCGUCAAGUCAAUAUUUGUUGGUAACACCCGCCGCUGGUGGCCUGACCCCUGUGGG
rnacentral:rRNA from 1 species